UGGUACAGUGGGGAUGGCUGCGUUUGGCCAGAUUACCCGAGGGAUGAAAGGGUGGACAAGGCGGUCCGAAGUGCCGAAGAACCUCAACCUGACUGGCAGACACAUGAUGUCAGAAUAAUUAGAUCAUGCGAUGAUUACUUGGUGGCAAGGCGAUGGUUAACAAAAUAUAUGUCCUGUGACACAUCUGAUCUCCAUUCAGAAGAGGAGGCAAUUCCUAAAAGGAGAAAGCCAAUGCCUGUCCAUUUCUUUGGGGACUCGGAUGCAGACAGCGAGACUGAAAAUCGCCACCCCAAAAAAAAAAAGGGUCCAACCACGAGCAGGACAGUUGCCCCUCCUCCAACUAUUGCCCCUCCUCCACCACGGACUUCAUCGCCAGCAGGACAGCGAACAAGCCAUGCAGGGGACACGCCAACCUGGCGAGGGGCGAGGUGUGGUUCAGACACCAUUGCCUGCUGUGCUGCUCAAGUUCAAAUGAUGGCCAUGCUGGAGACGCUUACACAGCAGGUCCAUCAAUUAACACAGCAGGUCCAUCAAUUAACUUCCAAAGUUGACAGCUUUGUUCGCCCCAGCGUGACACAAAUGUCUGGUCAAGAAGUGGA